rnacentral:rRNA from 1 species
UUUAUGGAGAGUUUGAUCCUGGCUCAGGAUGAACGCUGGCGGCGUGCCUAAUACAUGCAAGUCGAGCGAACGGACGAGAAGCUUGCUUCUCUGAUGUUAGCGGCGGACGGGUGAGUAACACGUGGAUAACCUACCUAUAAGACUGGGAUAACUUCGGGAAACCGGAGCUAAUACCGGAUAAUAUUUUGAACCGCAUGGUUCAAAAGUGAAAGACGGUCUUGCUGUCACUUAUAGAUGGAUCCGCGCUGCAUUAGCUAGUUGGUAAGGUAACGGCUUACCAAGGCAACGAUGCAUAGCCGACCUGAGAGGGUGAUCGGCCACACUGGAACUGAGACACGGUCCAGACUCCUACGGGAGGCAGCAGUAGGGAAUCUUCCGCAAUGGGCGAAAGCCUGACGGAGCAACGCCGCGUGAGUGAUGAAGGUCUUCGGAUCGUAAAACUCUGUUAUUAGGGAAGAACAUAUGUGUAAGUAACUGUGCACAUCUUGACGGUACCUAAUCAGAAAGCCACGGCUAACUACGUGCCAGCAGCCGCGGUAAUACGUAGGUGGCAAGCGUUAUCCGGAAUUAUUGGGCGUAAAGCGCGCGUAGGCGGUUUUUUAAGUCUGAUGUGAAAGCCCACGGCUCAACCGUGGAGGGUCAUUGGAAACUGGAAAACUUGAGUGCAGAAGAGGAAAGUGGAAUUCCAUGUGUAGCG